AGAGUUUGAUCCUGGCUCAGGAUGAACGCUAGCUACAGGCUUAACACAUGCAAGUCGAGGGGCAUCAGGAAGAAAGCUUGCUUUCUUUGCUGGCGACCGGCGCACGGGUGAGUAACACGUAUCCAACCUGCCCUUUACUCGGGGAUAGCCUUUCGAAAGAAAGAUUAAUACCCGAUGGGAUAAUUAUUCCGCAUGGUUUGAUUAUUAAAGGAUUCCGGUAAAGGAUGGGGAUGCGUUCCAUUAGGUUGUUGGUGAGGUAACGGCUCACCAAGCCUUCGAUGGAUAGGGGUUCUGAGAGGAAGGUCCCCCACAUUGGAACUGAGACACGGUCCAAACUCCUACGGGAGGCAGCAGUGAGGAAUAUUGGUCAAUGGGCGCUAGCCUGAACCAGCCAAGUAGCGUGAAGGAUGACUGCCCUAUGGGUUGUAAACUUCUUUUAUAUUAGAAUAAAGUGCAGUAUGUAUACUGUUUUGUAUGUAUAAUAUGAAUAAGGAUCGGCUAACUCCGUGCCAGCAGCCGCGGUAAUACGGAGGAUCCGAGCGUUAUCCGGAUUUAUUGGGUUUAAAGGGAGCGUAGGUGGACUGGUAAGUCAGUUGUGAAAGUUUGCGGCUCAACCGUAAAAUUGCAGUUGAUACUGUCAGUCUUGAGUACAGUAGAGGUGGGCGGAAUUCGUGGUGUAGCGGUGAAAUGCUUAGAUAUCACGAAGAACUCCGAUUGCGAAGGCAGCUCACUGGACUGCAACUGACACUGAUGCUCGAAAGUGUGGGUAUCAAACAGGAUUAGAUACCCUGGUAGUCCACACAGUAAACGAUGAAUACUCGCUGUUUGCGAUAUACAGUAAGCGGCCAAGCGAAAGCAUUAAGUAUUCCACCUGGGGAGUACGCCGGCAACGGUGAAACUCAAAGGAAUUGACGGGGGCCCGCACAAGCGGAGGAACAUGUGGUUUAAUUCGAUGAUACGCGAGGAACCUUACCCGGGCUUAAAU
rnacentral:rRNA from 1 species